AAGCCAAAUCUAGCCAUCCCCACUCUAUGGAAAAUAUGGUCCUCUCCUCCGGUGACCAGUUCGCCCUCUUUGGCUCUUAGGACGGUAGGCUCCAUCGCUACCAAGUCUGGCUGCAUCCUCAGCUGUGACUGCCACAGCAUCAACUCUGCCCCCUAUAGACCCAUCCUGGUGGUCAAUCUUCAGGAGGUGAAUCAAGGUAGAG
rnacentral:lncRNA from 1 species